ACCUGAUCCUUCCUUCCACAACAUUCAACACCACUUCUUCUUCUUCUUCUUCUUCUUCUUCUUCUUCUUCUUCUUCUUCUGUGGACUUUGACGCACCACACGCACGGACUUGUGUGUUGUUGUUGUUGUGUUUACCUCCUUCUUUGUUUGUCCUGCUGCCGCACGCACGCACACAGCGUUGACUUGACAGUAAAUAAUGAAAGUAGUGGCAGGAUCAAGUUAACGAAGGCUUGUCCUGAAAGAAUAAUUGUUUAAACUCACAUGUCACUCGAAUUAUCUGGCCGGGACGUCACCUUUUUUGCUACCGCUGCGCUAUUGCUAGCAUGUAAACCUCUCCAUAUGCACCCAAUAAGGUCGUUGCCUGGCUAUAUCGCGUUUUUUUCCCAAAAUUCAUGAAUGAAUAAAUGAGCGCUGUUUGGGCUAUGUCCUAACCUUAACCCAUGCGGCAUGUCUGACAUGACAGAGUGAAAAAAAGUUAUCCUCCCAUCCCAUGUGGAAGUGGUAAGUUUUUGAGUCCUUAAGUUUAGAAGGAGGCUAACAGAUUAGUUUGCUAGCUAGCAGCCAUCUCCAGUGCAGUGCAUGUAAACAAUGGCUACCAGGAGCAUAAAUGUGACUAUGGGUUUGUUGUUUCUACAGGGCUCUAAUGAUGUUGGAAGCCAUAUUUACAAAGUCAUAAAGAGGUUUUCUAUGCUGUAACUACAAAAAUAUUCCAUGUAUUAACAUUGAAUGCUAUAUCUGGAACCAAUUAGGCGCUAUAAAGGAGGCAGGGCUGUGCUUGCAUAUCCAGUACGUAUGCUCUCCUGCUCCAGUGAAGUGUGUUUGAUGCACUCGUGGUCUACAUGCAUGCAGUGCUGCUGUGGAAGUGUGUACUAAAGGUGUAUGCAGGGUGUGAGCGAUGUGUUUGUGUUUGCCAGUGUUGCUGAGUUGUGUUGUCAGCAGGACAGGAAGUAGCAAUAAGAGGCCUUCAAGACAACAACAUCAUAAAAGUCAGAGGUCCCACUACGAGGCGGCGUUUUCCACGCCUAGGCCUUCUUUGUGAGUCCUUGCUCGCCUGCCGUCGUUCCACUUCCCGGGCGUUUACCGGCAAGGACCUGUCGAAUACACAAACAUGUCCUGUUUACACGUGCACGUAAACACGGUGUGCGCUGCACCGCAAGUACAAGCUCAUUUAGACAGAUUAUGAGUCAUAGGAAGAUAACUGAAGUUGGCACGCUAGCUUGGGGAAUGCAAUGGGAGUAUCCCUGGCCUGCAGGGGGCAGCGUUCGCACGAGUAGUUUCUAACUACCUGCUACUUGUGCUUUUGCUAGCACUUAGCUGAAGUUGGAUUGUAGUAAUCAGUACAAGCUUGAUAACAAUUAGCAACACAUUAACACACAUUCCACACUGCAUUUUCUGCGGCGUUUUCAGCAUAAGUGCGCGUUCCCUGGCCGGUGAGAGCGCCGAAUCCUAGCCACUAGACCACCAGGGGCACAGCAUCAUGUGGGACUAGGCAGCUGCCAACAUUUAAAAGUGUUAGGAAUGGCCAUACUUUGUCAAAAAAAUUGAAAAGAUUCCAUUCCAGUAAAUAAGCAUUUUGCUGUACUUUGCCGACAAACAGAGUGGAAAAUAUUCCAUUCCGGUAGAUAAAUUGUUGCCAUACUUUGCCUAAAAGAGAGUGAAACAUAUUCCAUUCCUAAAAAAGUAUUAUUCCUACCUAUAAAACUCUGGACAUGAAGAUGAAACAAAAAACAUGUCUUAACUUUGCUGUUAUAUCUUCAUAGCUUUAUAACUCAUUUCACGUUGCCUUUAAACGCCAAAUGUUUCCAGAAUGUAUGCAUGUUGGUGAAAAGCAAAUUCCCUGACCGGGAAUCAAACACGGGCCGUGGCAGUGAGAGCACCAAAUCCUAGCCACUAGACCACCAGGGAUGUUUUAGUAUGGUGUUCUCAGCUGUCACUCUCCAGUGAAAGCUAGCGUGGGACAAGCAGGACUAUCACCUGUCAACCGUUAGGAAUGGAAUAUUUUCCACUCUGCUUUCGGCAAAGUACAGCAAGGUGCUUAUCUAUCGUAGCUGUCGACCAUAGAGAAGCACAUGGUCCACGCUACGAAAAAUAUUCCAUUCCGGUUGAUAAACACAUCACUGUACUUUGCCUAAAACAGAGUGGAACAUAUUCCAUUCCUAGCAAAAAUAAGGGACAUUUUCUGGAAAAUAAGGGAAAGGUAACAUUGUUGCGUAAUAUUAUGAGGAAAAAUGUCAUUUUAGCAGCAGAGAGUUGAAAUAUUAAAGAGGAACGUUAACAUGUUUCAAGAAUUGUGAUAUGAGAAACGAGAAUAAAGUCAAAAUAUGGGAAUAAAGUCAUCAUUACCAGAAGGAAUAUUACAAGAGGAAAGUUCAACUAGUUGGGAAAAACAACAACAGCAGAAAUGAGAAAACAGACGUGACUUUAUGGAUUGAUUGUGGUUUUGUCAUUUUGAAGCGAUGGCUGAUUUGUGUGAGAUCACGUUGAAUAGCUGAUCUUUGAGCAGACAUUCUUUCCCAGCUGAGAGUGUGUCUGCCUUAUCAGGACCACCUUGUUGUGUCUGCCGCGCGUUGACAAAGAGAUCCGUGCACAAGCCCGUGCACGCCUCUCAGUCUGCAGCUCUCGCAGCGCGGCUACACACGGUGUCCGCUUUCACACGCUCCGUCCCGCGCGCCAUUGGCCGACGCCUCGUGAGAGCGCCGGUGACGUCGCCCGAGCUUACAGCUGCGUGGGCGGGGCUGGAGGUGUUAGGGAUUAGCUCAGAAGGUAAGAGCGCUGCUGGCUUUGCUGGGUGGCAGGAUGGAGGGACUACCAUUGUCCCCAUGCAAGUACGUUUCUCAGUACCUUAGUGUAACGGAUGCCAGCAUGUGAGGCUGUGCAGGUGUACAGGCCCGGCUUUUGGCCGUGUGGUCAGCGCUCUCAUCUCCCAUUACGAGCGUCCUGUGUUCGAGCCCCGGUGCGGGCGGUGCAAAGCAGGGCAGGUUACAUUAGCAAAUUACAAUGCCAGCAUGUGAAUGUUGUUUUCUGGGGGCUUCAUUCCGGCAGGAACCAAAAGUUGCAUUUUCCACCACUCAGCCACAAAAAGGGAAAGUUCCCGGUGAGAGCACCAAAUCCUAGACACUAGACCACCAGGGACCUCAGACCAGUAUGUAUCCCUAAGCCUAACAUGAAUACACCGACCCUGACCCCAACCCUGACCUCAUUCUCCAGACCAGUCUCUUGUUAUGUAUCAGUUCUUUAUAGAAACUUUAGAAACUCAGUCUGUGAUUGAAUGAUCCCAAGUACUAAACACUAAUCCUCGCCCCAAUGCCCAACCAAACUUUAGGUCUAACCAAACCCCAGCCCUGACUGCGUUCUCCAGUCUGGUACCUUGUCUUGUCAUGGAAUGCUCACAGGAAAUCAUUUAAUUUCAGUUGUUUAUUAGCUUCAUGUUGCGUUCGGGUUCGGGUUCGGGUUCGGAACCUUAUCCCUAGGCCCCUAGUCCACCGUGUAACGAUGUAUUUACAUUCAUUUGUCAUCCAGUCACCGUAACCGUCAUGUUGGCAGCAGGUAGAGGUUUAGAAUGCUGGCAUAUUACUUGUGGGGGUGUUGCUCCUUCAGCCCCCGGCCACAGUAAUUCAUCAUAAGCAGCAAUUUGGGCUGCCAUCAUGGCCCAAAAGUAAGCUCCCUGACCGGGAAUCGAACCCUCACUGUGGCGGUUAGAGCGCCAAAUCCUAACCACUAGACCACCAGGGACUGUAUGUGCUUGAGCUAGCUGCACCCAGACAGGCAGACAGAGACAGGUCCACUUGGACACCCUCUAGCAACACGUUUCACAAGAACUAAAAUAGUCUUGAGGCUCAGGGGAAUUAGCUCAAAUGGUAGACCGCGUGCUUAGCAUGCGAGAGGUAGCGAGAUCGAUACCCGCAUUCUCCAUGUAAGCUUUUGAUUUUGUUUGUAGAAGAGAUGUUGGGACUGGGAACGAGUCUGGAGUUCCGAGGACAGUUUACAAUGGAAUUCAAACAGGAUUAGGGAGAAGCAAUUGCAAUGCCAGUGCUGAAGAGAGCGAUUAGCGGCCAAUGAAGGCUAAGCAAAGUCCAAUCGAUGUCCGAAGAGCAACCCUGUUCCACUUUCGUCUAUGAAAUCUGUCAGAGAGGUGGCGCUAUGGGCGUACUUCCUUAUUUUAGUUGUUGGGAUGUUAGGCACCAGCCUGUCUCAGCCAGCACUCGGACGGUGAUGAACACUGUGGCAUAUCUACAAACCAUGUGUGUGUGUGUGCAGAUAGAAAUGACAGGGUGCAUCUUUUCCAGGUGAAAGAUCUUCUGGGCGUGAUUAGACAGAGGUCAAAUCUUCCAGGCUAGUCUUUAAUGACGUGUUUAUCUUCAUUUGGGAUUCAGUGGCAGGAGCGAAACGUGAGGACAAUUCCAAGGGCCCACGGGCCCAGAAUUCCUGACGGAGCCCCUGUCCAGUGGGUAGCAGCUUGAUGACCAGAGCCCAAAACUCUAGCCUACCCAUUUUCUUGGCAGGGUUUUAAUCCUCAAUCCCCACCCCCAACUGCUACUCACUGGCAUCAAGGCCCAAAAGCUCUUUCCACGACCUGGACUCGGGCCACAGGGGCGUGAGUGCCGAAACCUAGACAAAGAGGACCAAAAAAAAGAGAGAAUAAUCACAGGGGAAUUAGCUCGUUAGGUAGAGCGCUUGUUUAGCAUGCGAGAGAUAGUGACUAUGAAAAUUGUUUUGUAUUGUUCGGCCCUAUGAUAGGGACAGCUGCAGGUGGGUAUGGCAUCUUGGAGACGUCACACACGUUCUUGUAAAUGAGACGUUGUCCUGACAGCCAGACAGACCACAGCAGCUGGCAGAGCCCACCGGGGAAUUAGCUCACAUGGUAGAGUGCUUGCUUAGCAAGCGAGAGGUAGAGGGAUCGAUGCCUGCAUUCUCCAGCACAUUGCCUUUUUUUCCAAGCUGAGUCAAAUCAAACUUUAUUUCUAUCGUGUAAAAUCCAAACAACUUGUGCUAACCGUUUGCCUGCAGACCUCAUGGCCUGCCUGGGGACGUCCACACUUGGGACGACAAGGAUGGAAGUCAAACCCACACAUGCAGAUCACGAUUGCAGCCACCUUGGUCACCUCAUCUCCAAUGCACACCUGAGACACCCCAAUAGUACACCUUAGCCUUCACUCUCCUCAACAUUGGUUUGUAGAAAAAGAUAUCAGUUGUUUCUGUGACUUCUAGCCCAUUUAUCCUGAUACUAGCCCUAACCUCAUGCCUAGGCCUACCAUCAAUCCUAGCCCUAACCUCAUCCCUAGGCCUACCAUCAAUCCUAGCCCUAACCUCAUGCCUAGGCCUACCAUCAAUCCUAGCCCUAACCUCAUCCCUAGGCCUACCAUCAAUCCUAGCCCUAACCUCAUCCCUAGGCCUACCAUCAAUCCUAGCCCUAAACUCAUCCCUAGGCCUAACAUCAAUCCUAGCCCUAACCUCAUCCCUAGGCCUAACAUCAAUCCUAGCCCUAACCUCAUCCCUAGGCCUACCAUCCAUCCUAGCCCUAACCUCAUCCCUAGGCCUACCAUCCAUCCUAGCCAUAACCUCAUCCCUAGGCCUAACAUCAACUCUAGCCCUAACCUCAUCCCUAGGCCUACCAUCAAUCCUAGCCCUAACCUCAUCCCUAGGCCUACCAUCAAUCCUAGCCCUAACCUCAUCCCUAGGCCUACCAUCAAUCCUAGCCCUAACCUCAUGCCUAGGCCUACCAUCAAUCCUAGCCCUAACCUCAUCCCUAGGCCUACCAUCAAUCCUAGCCCUAAACUCAUUCCUAGGCCUAACAUCAAUCCUAGCCCUAACCUCAUCCCUAGGCCUACCAUCAAUCCUAGCCCUAAACUCAUUCCUAGGCCUAACAUCAAUCCUAGCCCUAACCUCAUGCCUAGGCCUACCAUCAAUCCUAGCCCUAAACUCAUCCCUAGGCCUAACAUCAAUCCUAGCCCUAACCUCAUCCCUAGGCCUACCAUCCAUCCUAGCCCUAACCUCAUCCCUAGGCCUAACAUCAACUCUAGCCCUAACCUCAUCCCUAGGCCUACCAUCAAUCCUAGCCCUAACCUCAUCCCUAGGCCUACCAUCAAUCCUAGCCCUAACCUCAUGCCUAGGCCUACCAUCAAUCCUAGCCCUAACCUCAUCCCUAGGCCUAACAUCAAUCCUAGCCCUAACCUCAUCCCUAGGCCUACCAUCCAUCCUAGCCCUAACCUCAUCCCUAGGCCUAACAUCAAUCCUAGCCCUAACCUCAUCCCUAGGCCUACCAUCAAUCCUAGCCCUAACCUCAUGCCUAGGCCUAACAUCUAUCCUAGCCCUAACCUCAUGUCUAGCCCUAACCUCAUGUCUAGGCCUAACCACAAAUGCAACCUUACGUCUAACCCUAAUCCUAACCCCAACCCCAACCAUAGGUCAACGCAAUACAAAUCCUAACCACAACUCUAACACGAAUAAUAAUUGUACCCCUAACCAUAGCCCAAACCCUAACCCUAACCCCAACUGCAACCUUAGGUCAACCCCAACCCUAACACAAAUCAUAAUCCCACCCCUAACCAAAGCCCAAACCCUAACCCUGGUCCCCACCCCAAGAUGACACGAGAAGGUCAGACACAGAUUACAGCACUAAGUGCACUACAGCACUAAGUGCACUAAGUGAAUGGACUGACUGGUUGAAGGCGUUCCAGUGCCGACUGGCUCCUCUCCACAUGGUUGGUGUCAGACGGCGCUCUCGGAUGUCGUCGCUACUUGUGAUGCGUAGCUCGCAUGUCACACCAUGACAAAGCGCCACGGCCGUCUCGCUGCUCUCUCAGCAGGAAGUGAUGCACUAAUUGUCUGCGGGCUGAGAAAACGUAAAACUAUGUUAGCGUCUUUGUUAAGCUUCCUAGCUGGCGUUGACGUCUCAGUCAGUCCUUCUUCACGUCCUGAAGCUUUCAGGACAAUGUAUGUCACUGCUAACGAUUAGCUAGCAGUGAUGUGACUGCUUGUGUUCAACUUUGACCUCAGGGGUGACACGUGUCAGGAAUGAAGCAGCUUUGAGGUCGGGGGGGGGUCACACAGUCCAUCAGAUGCGGUCAGGUGCUUCGUUAGCCGAAGUUUUACGGCCCCGAAAGCCGACACCUGGUCUCGCUAGCGGACAGGGAGCGCACGGAGGUCGCCUGGUGGCCCACACCGGUCCCGGUGUUGCAGAUGUCAAAGACGUUAAUGAAGUGUUUUCUUUUGUGUGGCUGGCCGGCGGCCGUCUCGGCUGCGGAGGCGGUGUUCAGGUGCCGAGAGCAGAACGUCAACGCUAACAAGCUGAUGCAUUGCGGGGAGGAAAUUGGACUUUUAGAAGUGGGGCGGCCAUCUGGACCUGAUUUGUGGACAUUAAUUCUUCGUCUUUGGGGCCCCUCCAGCCGCCGCCAGCCCCCCUCCCCCCCCAAAAAAAAACACCCGGGGGGGGCUUUGGUUUCUUUUUUGUUAGUGCAUUACCUCACUAGCAGCGUCUACUGUCUUUUGUGGGACUUUUUGUGUGCACACGGUUUGGACAUGAUUGACAGGGGACGACAGGUCAUUUGUUGUGUUUGUCUGAACGUCUCAUCGGGUUUCAGACCCCCUAAGUCUGGUUCCACCUGGGUUGGCUUAGUAUUCUUUGAGUGGGAAGUUCACCGUGAUGCUCGCUAAUGCAGCAAGCUUAACCCAAACCCAAACCCUACAACCCGUCCCUCAGGGUUCCAGCAGCAGGUCCACACGGAACCGGCACCGGCACCGGUUUUUCACUAACAACGGCUUAUGUCCCUGUAGGUCCAUGUUGACAGGUUCCCCGACGCAAAGAAGAGAUCCAAACUCCCUCACGUCCACGACAAGACGGUCAAGGAUGCGUCCAACCACACGUCCAACCCGUGGAGGCGUCCUCGCUGUGGCGUUCCCGACUAUCUUUAUCCGGGACGACACCGCCAGAGACGCUUUGUCCUCUACGGAGGAAGGCUGGACAAGACGGACCUCACCUACAGGCCGCAUUGUUUGGAGCUCAGCAAGUUCUGGCACGACCCGGGAAAUCCCGUCGGGUCGACGGCCGGGGGUCUCCUCUUCAAAGCGCUCAAUCGCUUUAGGAAAGAAUUCACGUCUAAUGCAGAGCCGCAGCAGAACCAGGCGGGUUCUUGAAAGGAGUCAUCAACUCAUCCAGUGAUGUCGGGUCGUCUUCGGCAAACUAGUUCCUGUUUUCACUCGCAAAGCCUUUCUUCUUUCUUCCUGGUCGGCAGCCGAGCGUGUGCGAACGUGCGCACCUGGCCACGUGCACACACAAACACCGCUCAAGGAUUUUGGCGCACGUGAUCGCACACCUCAGCUUCCCGUCCGCCAACGUACGACGUGACUGUAAAAGACAAGUACAAACCACACUUGGACGAAAAAGGACUUUUUCCGCAUUUUUCUCCAAAUAUUCAGAGUUUUUCUCAUUAAAAUGUGUUUUUCUUCCGAGUAAAAAUGAUUUUGAUUCGUCAUUGCAGGUUCUUCACUUUCCAGGUGAGCUCUGUGGAAGCAAACAUUAAAACAAUAAAAUCCCUUUUCAUGAAAAGCCUUCGUGAUGCAAACGUUGGGACGUCCUUCAAGUCACUUUGCUGCUUCGUUCCAAAAAAUAGAUACAUCCAAAAGAACGUGAAAAUAGACUUUAUUCUGAAAAAAUGUUUUUUUCUUGUAAUAUUCAGACUUUUUCUGAUUCAAAUUUGAUUUUUUUUUCUUAGAAAACGAUGCUUGUUUUUCGUUCAAGGGUGAUUUUUGUCACCGUGUCAACUUUUCAUUUUGGAGAUGAGAUGAAAUCCAAACAACCAAAUUGUCAUCCACGUCUCGUUGCAGUCGUUUUUGAAGGAACAUUUGGACGUACGUGUGUUUCAUAUUGUUACAAUUUUUAUCUUAUAAAAUUGCAACGUUUUUCUCUAAACAUUUUGACUUCAUUCUCGUAAAAUUGCAGCUAUUUUUUCCAUUUUUUUCUAAAUUUUCCAACUAUUUCAACUUUCUUUGUGUAAAUGUUCUUAUGGUUCUUAUAUUUGGACGUUAUUCCCACAAUAUCAGAACUUUGCCCCACGUAAUGUUCCUAAAAUGGCAACUUUGUGAUGUUUUUUUCUGGUUUCUGAUCAUUUUAUGACUUUUAUGAAAAAUAAACUAUUUUUUCUUGAACAUUCCAAAAAUGACACGAUUCUUCCUCAGAAAAUGAGGAGUUUAUUCUGGUCAAAUUGCGACUUGUUGUGUUUUUCCAGUGAAAUGCUAUUUUUAGAAUGUGCCGUGCAGCCCAAACGGCCCCCGGACCGCACGUUGGACACCCCCGUUCUAAGUUUUGCACUAAAAGUGGGACAUUGCUAGGCAGCUAAAAAAGAAAGGGGUGUGGUCCCACGCAGGAUCGUGCGU